GACGAACGCUGGCGGCGUGCUUAACACAUGCAAGUCGAACGGGAAGGCCGUGCUUUUGUGGGGUGCUCGAGGGGCGAACGGGUGAGUAACACGUGAGUAAGCUGGCCUUGACUGGGGGAUAUCUUCAGGAAAGUGGGGCUAAUACCGGAUAGGAGCUCGUGCGGCAUGGUGGGGGUUGGAAAGUUUCGGCGGUUGGGGAUGGACUCGCGGUUUAUCAGCUGGUUGGUUGGGUAGUGGCUUACCAAGGCUUUGACGGGUAGCCGGCCUGGGAGGGUGACCUGCAACAUUGGGACUGGGAUACGGCACAGACUCGAACGGGAGGCAGUAGUGGAGUAUAUUACACAAUGGGCGGAGGCAUGAUGCGACAACGCCGCGUGCGGGAAGACGGCCUUGGGGUUGUAAACUGCUGUCGCCUGUGACGAAGCGUGAAUGACGGUACUGGCUAAAGAAGCACCGGCUAACUACGUG
rnacentral:rRNA from 1 species